CCCCACCAUAAUCUAAGCAAUAAAGUUAAGCAGGAUACAGAAAGUCAAUUUAAUGAUACAACUUUACAUUGUUUAGCUAAUUAGCUAACGUGAGGUCGCGUCCAUAACUAGAAACAUCUAAGACAAAUCUAAGCUAUUGCAUAAUUCGUGGAAACCUCUCUGAUAGUGUUAUACACUUCUGUAUACCAUCAUCCGGCAUUAAUUGGCGUAGGGUUAGCAAUACUCGGCCAGAAUCAGCCGCUGUAAUGAACACAAGAUCUAUACAGAAUCGCGCAUUAUGCCAUAUGCCACCCUAGAACAUACAGAAUACCAUAAGCGACAUGUCCGUCCAUGCAGUGUUAUGCAAAUCACAGUAAUCACUGCCUGGACACAAUGGAGAUGUCCAUUGUGUCAAGUAAUCAUGUGAGAGCAUCAGAAAACAUGUAAGAUUUUGCUAUACAUUUGUUAUGUAUUCUAGUAAUAACCCUAGUGUUAUACUUGGGUGUAUAACUAAACUCUAAAUAAAUGCAGAUGUUUAUGCAGGUACACAGAAAACAUUUCCCACUUAAAAAUCUAUGUAAGCCAGUAUUUUUUAUUAAUUAAUCUUAAUCUAUUGGUCAGACAAAAAUAUUGUAUAACUUGUUCACUCUUGAAAUAACUCUUUUUUUUUAGGCUGCCACAACCACAACUCCUAUGUUAAGUCCAUUAAAAUACCAUAUUUAAGUAAAUAUGUUUAUUGUGCUAUGUAGCAGAACCAGUACAAAGGUGAACUAAACUAAUAGUGUUGUACCCUUGACUUACAUACUAAGAUUUGACAAGUACCUACAAUAAGUACACAACAUCCUAUAAUCCAGGAUUUAUAUUAGAUACAACCAUGGAAACACCAGAACUGAAGUGUAACAUAUCCCAAGAACAUGAACAAAUGUCUUGGAUCUAAAUAAAUCAGAAAAUACUAUUAGAGAAGAUGACAAUGAAAUCACAUCCUUAAAAACUUAAACCAUUUCUAAGAUUAAUCUUUAAGAUUUUGUACACACAUUACAUGAUAAUAAAUUAUAAACUUGUUAUUAGUCACAAGGGAUUAGGAUAAUGUAGAUAUGUUGAUUGUUUCACAUGUUUUUCAAUAUUCUGCAAACCAACCUUCUGAAUAUCUUGUUUCAGUGACAUUAAGUCCAGCACGAAUGGACCAGCUUGACUGGAGUGACGCCACAGCCUCACAGAAUACCAAUGUGAAACAAAUGUGAUUUACAGUAAUGCUUAGCCCAGGAGCUUAAAAUGUUUUACAAAUUAUAGCAGUAUGUAGUUUUAUAAAUUAUCUCAGACAGGCACUUUGAAUCAUAGCAUUAAUACCAUAUUGUAUUCUGCUUCAUGGCAUAUAAAGUAACACACAAAAUUAUUAUUUGAUUUAGUAUUUUUAUUUGUGUUCCUACCUUUACACAGUUUGUUACAAUUUAUUUCAAAUAAGGUUAGGUUAACAUUUGGUACAUAACUAUUUGAAGUUACACUAGAGACUGCAUCAACUCGUCAUCAUCAUCAACAUCAUCAACAAUAGAGGUUAUAGCAUAACAAUCACCAUCCUUGCACAAAGCACCCUUGCUCAAGGCAGAAUGGGGUUUUCAAAUUUAUAAUUAGAAAUUAGAUAACAUAAAGCCUAAUAGUCCUCCACACCUAAUUAGAAAUAAGCUCAGGUUUACUCAGAAUUCUUUCAUUCAUUCACAUCUUAGACAGUACAGAUAACUCAGAAAACUAACCCGAAAAAAAUUAAGUAUGGGGUGCCAUGCUUCGGCACAAAAGGACCAAAAGGACCAGCACGACCAAGUGAUACCACAGUGUCAUGAAAAACCAACAUGAAACAAUGGUUGCAUUGUGUUUCGUUUUGUGAGUGGGGGUACCAAAGGCCCAAUUACCGAUUCCCCAACAAAUCGCAAGGCGAUUGUUUACUAUUAGGUCAUCUGAUUGUUGACGUGCUUGUACCAUAUAAAAAGGUCAGACUAGCAGGUGCCAGUGCAGUGUGAUGUUUCAAACCUGCUUGAGAAGUGGGCAACACCAACCUUCAGGCAACCAUGACAUUUGUGUGAACUAGGUAGUUGAUUAAUUUUAGCUAAAUUCUAAUAGGAUAUGUAAUACAGUACACAACCUAAUAUAAUGGAAGUGAAAUAUUGUAAUAUUUGUGAAGUAGUUUAAAUGUGGUAUAUUUACUAAAUAUUAUAUCCUUAUUACUUAUACCAUGUUCAUAUUUGAAACAAUAUUUUUUUUAUCUAACAUACUGUUCAAACUAUUUAAGAGAUAAGAUUCAACAAUCGCAGUGGCAAACUAGUUUAUCAUAAUGCUUAUCAUGAAGGGAAGCAAUUUUUUCACUAAUAUCUGUUUUGUACAAGUAGGUGGGUAUAGGUACCUACUUUAUUUUGCAUUUAAAAUUCAAAAGUAAUAGAGUUAAAAAUACUUGAUCAUCUACAACAAUAAUAGUUUUCAAACAAACCUAUUUUUAUUUUAUUUGUAAUGUAGGUAGUUAUGUAUAAUAAAUGAGUGCAUGCGAAAUUAUAAGCAAUAUGAGCCUGCACAUUAUGACCAAGAUGGUUACUAGCCACUGAAAUUUCUGUAUAGGUAUAGAAAAUAUCAAAUUGUUUCUAUUUGCGCCCCUAAUUCAUUUAUUCUUGUAAACAACAUACCAAUUAUUGUAGACUAUUUUGACAUGAGUAAACCUACACAUAUUUUUAUUGAAAAACUAUGAUGGUAUGUGUAAUGUACUUACAGUUCUCUGUCAACUACAACAAGGUUAAUUAACUUUGUGGGUUUUGUAACUGCCGAGAUGGAUUCCAGGACACAGCUUGCUUUAAUUUAACCCGGCGUCAUGGGGGUUGGGUCUGUGCGACCCACCACAUUUUAUUUCGCUUGUAGUUCGGUUACUAUGCGUGCGACGUUGCUGCUCUUCUCAAUAGCUGGAGCUGUUGAGUUGUCCUACGCUUCGCAAGCUACACGUUAGUCGUGCCACGGCCGCAGUGGGAGAUACAGGUGCACAAAGUUAAAAAAGGUACUUAGUAAAAAAUGGACCGUGAAGAGGCUGAACGACAGCGUAUUCUGGCAAUUUUACAAGAGUCUGACUCUGAUACUGAGUUGUCAGACCAGGAUGUGUGUGACGAAGAAGAUCAUUUGAGUGUAGCGUGGAGCGUAGUAUUCAGCCAAGAAAGACCGUAAAACUAAUUACACCUGCGAAAGUUGAAACAAAUAUAUCUGCGUAGAACAUAUAGUACCUUUCUGAGCUGACUGUACCAAAGAUAAUGAUUCCAAAUGAUUAAUUGUUUAUUUUUUAAAUUUAUUUAGUUACCUACAAAAAAAGUGCUAUUAAAUGUUAAGACUGAUUGUUAAUUAAUAAUAAUAUAAUUACAUGUAGAAGUAGAAGAGAAAAUGUUUGUUGAUAAUUUUAGUUCUUUUUUAAAAUUUUAUUAUAUAUAAUUAAGACAUAAUAUAACAUAA